GACAUCAUAAUAGGAUCUUUAAACUGGCUUGCACCUGUGCUUCACUGACACCUGCGCCAAGGUUCCAAGGCUCCUCUUCUCUCUGUCCCUCUCCAUUCAACUGUAUAACUAGGAAUAUUAUUCUUUCCUUCUUCCACUCUUCUUCUUUCCUUCUUCUACUCUCCUUUCCUUUCUUCUUUCCUUCUUUUCUUUCUUCACUCUUCUUUCCUUCUUCCACUCUUCUUUCCCUCUUUCACUCUUCUUUCCUUCUUUCACUUUUCUUUUUUUUCUUCUUUCCUUUCUUCACUUCUUUCUUUUCUUCUUUCCUUCUUCCCUUCUUCCACUCUUCUUUCACUUUCUUUUUUUCCUUCUUCCACUCUUCUUUCCUUCUUCCACUCUUCUUUCCUUCUUUCACUUUUCUUUUUUUUCUUCUUUCCUUCUUCCCUUCUUUCCUUCUUUCACUCUUCUUUAUUUUCUUCUUUCCUUCUAUCCGUUCUUCUUUCCUUCUUCCACUCUUCUUUCCUUUCUUUUUUCCUUCUUUCACUCUUCUUCAUUCUUUCUUUUCUUCUUUCCUUCUUCCACUCUUCUUUCCUUUCUUCACUCUUCUUUCUUUUCUUCUUUCCUUCUUCCACUCUUCUUUCCUUUCUUCCACUCUUCUUUCCUUUCUUCACUCUUCUUUCUUUUCUUCUUUCCUUCUUCCACUCUUCCUUCCUUCUUCAACUCUUCUUUCCUUUCUUCACUCUUCUUUCUUUUCUUCUUUCCUUCUUCCACUCUUCCUUCCUUCUUCAACUCUUCUUUCCUUUCUUCACUCUUCUUUUCUUCUUCCACUCUUCUUUCCUUUCUUCACUCUGCUUUCUUCUUUUCUUCUUUUACUCUUCUUUCUUUUCUUCUUUCCUUUCUUCACUCUUCUUUCCUUUAUUCUUUCCUUCUUCCACUCUUCUUUCCUUUUACUCUUCUUUCCUUCUUUCACUCUUCUUUCUUUUCUUCUUCCUUUCUUAACUUUAGCAUUUCAUGCACUGGUAUUUCCUUCAGGAAAUG
ensembl:lncRNA